UACGUAGGGUGCAAGCGUUGUCCGGAAUUAUUGGGCGUAAAGAGCUCGUAGGCGGUUUGUUGCGUCGGCUGUGAAAUCCCGAGGCUCAACCUCGGGUCUGCAGUCGAUACGAGCAAACUAGAGUGUUGCAGGGGGAGACUGGAAUUCCUGGUGUAGCGGUGAAAUGCGCAGAUAUCAGGAGGAACACCGGUGGGCGAAAGGCGGGUCUCUGGGGCAACAACUGACGC
rnacentral:rRNA from 1 species